AAGAAGAAAAUAGAGUUAGGAAUCCAGUAGAUCGACCACUUACUCAUUAAAAUUCUACAUAUUAUUUUUAGAUGCUAUUUACCAGCUAUAAGUUUGAUGCAAUACCUUCAUGCUAUAAUAAAGAGAGCCCUACGCAUUUUUUUUCUUUAACAAUAGAUUCGCAGCACCGAUGGUCGCCACUGCAUUGAGCACUAAUAUUUUACUGCCUAUAAAAGGAGAGAGGAAGAGAUCAGGCUAUAAAUGCUUUCCUCCUUGUUACUCUACCGAACCGAGGAGCAUGUCAAGCUUCGUCACGCAUCAUGGUUACAAAUUGCCAACUGAAAAUUGGAUGCCUUAAUGCCUCUUUUUCCCAACGCUGCCAUUUCUAUAGUAUCACAAAUGGGUAAAUGGUAUGUUCUAUGCGAAUACAAAUAUAUGGCCUAUUUUUUUUCCCAAAUAUGCUGCAGUGUUAUGCAGUCCCUCAUGGUAGCAAUAGGGUUCCUAUAGAGGUUAUAGAAUAAAAUAUGCCAACAG